GACGAACGCUGGCGGCGUGCUUAACACAUGCAAGUCGAACGGAAAGGCCCUGCUUUUGUGGGGGGCUCGAGUGGCGAACGGGUGAGUAACACGUGAGUAACCUGCCUUUGACUGUGGGAUAACUUCAGGAAACUGGGGCUAAUACCGGAUAGGAGCUCCUGCUGCAUGGUGGGGGUUGGAAAGUUUCGGCGGUUGGGGAUGGACUCGCGGCUGAUCAGCUUGUUGGUGGGGUAGUGGCUUACCAAGGCUUUGACGGGUAGCCGGCCUGAGAGGGUGACCGGCCACAUUGGGACUGAGAUACGGCCCAGACUCCUACGGGAGGCAGCAGUGGGGAAUAUUGCACAAUGGGCGGAAGCCUGAUGCAGCAACGCCGCGUGCGGGAUGACGGCCUUCGGGUUGUAAACCGCUUUCGCCUGUGACGAAGCGUGAGUGACGGUAAUGGGUAAAGAAGCACCGGCUAACUACGUG
rnacentral:rRNA from 1 species